CUGUGAAUGACCAAAAUGAAGAACAUGGUAUCUAUGCCGAUAACCAAUAUGAAAUAUCAUGUGAUAUUCAAGACGAUGACCAAAAUAAAGAACCUCAAUUGGCAAGUUUGAAAUUGACAUCAUUAAAUAGAAAAUUUUAUGAGAAUCAAAAAAAUUGUUUCGUUAAGAUCAAUAUGCAGUCAAAAAGUUUUAUAAUUAC